rnacentral:rRNA from 1 species
GAUGAACGCUAGCGGCAGGCUUAACACAUGCAAGUCGAGGGGCAGCAUGAAGGUUAGCAAUAACCUUUGAUGGCGACCGGCGCAAGGGUGCGUAACGCGUGAGCAACUUGCCCGUUUCUGGGGAAUAACCGGUGGAAACGCCGACUAAUACCCCAUAGCAUCAGAAUGAGGCAUCUCAAUCUGAUUAAAGAAAUUCGGAAACGGAUAGGCUCGCGUGACAUUAGCUAGAUGGCGGGGUAACGGCCCACCAUGGCUACGAUGUCUAGGGGUUCUGAGAGGAAGGUCCCCCCACACUGGAACUGAGACACGGUCCAGACUCCUACGGGAGGCAGCAGUGAGGAAUAUUGGUCAAUGGUCUGACGACUGAACCAGCCAUGCCGCGUGAAGGUCACGGCCCUAUGGGUCUUAAACUUCUUUUGUAAGGGAGCAAUAAGGGUCACGUGUGGUCUGAUGAGAGUACCUUACGAAUAAGCAUCGGCUAACUCCGUGCCAG